UUUGAUCCUGGCUCAGGAUGAACGCUGGCGGUAUGCUUAACACAUGCAAGUCGAACGGAACCUUUAGGGGAAUCGGCCCUCAGGUUGGGGACAACCAUUGGAAACGAUGGCUAAUACCGAAUAAGCCUAUAGGUGAAAGAUUAAUCGCCUGGGGAAGAGCUCGCGUCUGAUUAGCUAGUUGGUAGGGUAAAGGCCUACCAAGGCACCGAUCAGUAACUGGUCUGAGAGGAUGACCAGUCACACUGGGACUGAGACACGGCCCAGACUCCUACGGGAGGCAGCAGUGGGGAAUUUUCCGCAAUGGGCGCAAGCCUGACGGAGCAAUACCGCGUGAGGGAGGAAGGCUCUUGGGUUGUAAACCUCUUUUCUCAGGGAAGAACAAUGACGGUACCUGAGGAAUCAGCAUCGGCUAACUCCGUGCCAGCAGCCGCGGUUAUACGGAGGAUGCAAGCGUUAUCCGGAAUUAUUGGGCGUAAAGCGUCUGUAGGUGGACAUUCAAGUCUGCUGUCAAAGACCGGGGCUUAACCCUGGGAAGGCGGUGGAAACUGAAAGUCUGGAGUGCGGUAGGGGCAGAGGGAAUUCCCAGUGUAGCGGUGAAAUGCGUAGAGAUUGGGAAGAACACCGGUGGCGAAAGCGCUCUGCGGGGCCUGCACUGACACUAAGGGACGAAAGCUAGGGGAGCGAAUGGGAUUAGAUACCCCAGUAGUCCUAGCCGUAAACGAUGGAUACUAG
rnacentral:rRNA from 1 species